rnacentral:rRNA from 1 species
CACGUAGGGGGCAAGCGUUGUCCGGAUUUAUUGGGCGUAAAGAGCUCGUAGGCGGCUCUGUAAGUCGGGUGUGAAACCUCCAGGCUCAACCUGGAGACGCCACCCCGAUACUGCUAUAGCUUGAGUCCGGUAGGGGGAGCGUGGAAUUCCUGGUGUAGCGGUGAAAUGCGCAGAUAUCAGGAGGAACACCAGCGGCGAAGGCGGCGCUCUGGGCCGGUACUGACACUGAGGAGCGAAAGCGUGGGGAGCAAACAGG